GGCCACAUCCACAGGAAGUCACAACAGGCA
rnacentral:piRNA from 1 species